GGGCGCUUGGUGAAACGGGCAUCAUGUUAGACUUGCAAAUCAAUGAUCAAGAAAUCUUUCGUACUGGGUUCGAGUCCCAGAGAGUCCA
rnacentral:tRNA from 1 species